UGCACGACUCCCGUCAACGGAUAUCUUGGCCCUUGCAUCGAUGAAGAACGUAGCAAAAUGCGAUACUUGAUGUGAAUUGUAGAAUCCCGUGAACCAUCGAGUCUUUGAAUGCAAGUUGCGCCCGAAGUUGUUAGACGGACGGCAUGCCUGCCUGGGCGUCAUUA
rnacentral:rRNA from 1 species